UGAAACUGCAGCAACAUUCAUUUCACCCUUCACAGAGUUCAUCAUUACUGUACAUGUAUUCCCUCAGCAGGAGACAAUAGCAGCCAAAAGUAAAAUAAUUGUUUCUCCUUGUAGAGGAAUGCUCCAAGAAAGGGCCCUAGGGACUAUUCUAAGCAAGGCCAAUUUUUUCAGCCAUAUCUAGAAAGAGUAGUACCAUCUGCUUUUAUCACAUAAUUUACACAACGCUUAACCAGAGACAGAGCAUAAGAAAACCUGCUGCCCCCCUCCUGGGAAGCCGUGUCUCUUAACGAGGAUUGGUGACCCCGCUAGUCCAAUUUGGUUUGAAAUUACUGCUCCAAUAUUGGAAAUUCUCUGCACAAGGAAGCAACGUACAAUGGCAUAAGUAGCAGAAGUUACUUGUUGUUUUUUUUCCACUUUUUUUUUUUUUUUCAUCGAGUUCUUGUUUUUUCCCCUUAUCUAAAAGUAUCUUUCAUUUAAGAGAGGAAACAUGAUAUACGUAUAAGUAAAGAAAAUGGAUGCAAAGCUAGGUCAUAGUGUUUUGUGACUUGGGGCAGCAAUACAAUACCUUUUAUUACUUGUUGCAUACUAAAAGAUACUUCUGAAAUAAUAGUUGACUUUAAUGUGAAGCAUACAAAUCAUUGAACUGAUAGCAAAAUCCAGACUUCUGGGCAAGAGAUAAAGUAUCUCAUUUAAAUUGAUUACACCUACCUACAGGACACAGAGAUGCGAAGAGAAAUGAGCAGAAAGGCGAUGGAAGAUAGCAGGAGACACCUGGACUACACACAGAUUGAUGGCAAAGGUUUUGGCUUCCUCGCUCUUUCAAAGUGACGGCUGGAGCCCCAGGCUGGAAAAGCCAGCAGAGUGCUUUAGACAGACCUAUUUACCAGGAUGCAGAGGCAUUGUGAGAAACUCUCCACCUGGACCCCAGUCAAUACUGCUUGAUCCUCGCUGGCAUGUCCUAAGGUUUGUCAUUCCUUUGUUGAGGCUUUAUUUAGCAAAAGUCAUUGCCAGCCCAGCAGCACAUAAGAAGGAAAGAACCAAGGCAGUGAAAUUACAGCACAUAUUGCCAAAUGACUCUUUAAUUAGGAAGUAA
rnacentral:lncRNA from 1 species